GGACCAGACUCCUACGGGAGGCAGCAGUGAGGAAUAUUGGGCAAUGGAGGCAACUCUGACCCAGCCAUGCCGCGUGCAGGAAGACUGCCCUAUGGGUUGUAAACUGCUUUUAUACAGGAAGAAACACUAGUACGUGUACUAGCUUGACGGUACUGUAAGAAUAAGGACCGGCUAACUCCGUGCCAGCAGCCGCGGUAAUACGGAGGGUCCGAGCGUUAUCCGGAAUCAUUGGGUUUAAAGGGUCCGCAGGCGGUCAAUUAAGUCAGAGGUGAAAUCCCAUAGCUCAACUAUGGAACUGCCUUUGAUACUGGUUGACUUGAGUCAUAUGGAAGUAGAUAGAAUGUGUAGUGUAGCGGUGAAAUGCAUAGAUAUUACACAGAAUACCGAUUGCGAAGGCAGUCUACUACGUAUGUACUGACGCUGAGGGACGAAAGCGUGGGGAGCGAACAGGAUUAGAUACCCUGGUAGUCCACGCCGUAAACGAUGGAUACUAGUUGUUGGGCAUUUGUUCAGUGACUAAGCGAAAGUGAUAAGUAUCCCACCUGGGGAGUACGGUCGCAAGACUGAAACUCAAAGGAAUUGACGGGGGCCCGCACAAGCGGUGGAGCAUGUGGUUUAAUUCGAUGAUACGCGAGGAACCUUACCAGGGCUUAAAUGUAGUAUGACAGGUUUAGAGAUAGACUUUUCUUCGGACAUAUUACAAGGUGCUGCAUGGUUGUCGUCAGCUCGUGCCGUGAGGUGUCAGGUUAAGUCCUAUAACGAGCGCAACCCCUGUCGUUAGUUGCCAGCAUGUUAUGAUGGGGACUCUAACGAGACUGCCUACGCAAGUAGAGAGGAAGGUGGGGAUGACGUCAAAUCAUCACGGCCCUUACGUCCUGGGCCACACACGUGCUACAAUGGUAUGGACAAUGAGCAGCCAUCUGGCAACAGAGAGCGAAUCUAUAAACCAUAUCACAGUUCGGAUCGGAGUCUGCAACUCGACUUCGUGAAGCUGGAAUCGCUAGUAAUCGGAUAUCAGCCAUGAUCCGGUGAAUACGUUCCCGGGCCUUGUACACACCGCCCGUCAAGCCAUGGAAGCUGGGAGUGCCUGAAGUCGGUCACCGCAAGGAGC
rnacentral:rRNA from 1 species